rnacentral:rRNA from 1 species
GACGAACGCUGGCGGCGUGCCUAAUACAUGCAAGUCGAACGAAACUUUCUUACACCGAAUGCUUGCAUUCACCGUAAGAAGUUGAGUGGCGGACGGGUGAGUAACACGUGGGUAACCUGCCUAAAAGAAGGGGAUAACACUUGGAAACAGGUGCUAAUACCGUAUAUCUCUAAGGAUCGCAUGAUCCUUAGAUGAAAGAUGGUUCUGCUAUCGCUUUUAGAUGGACCCGCGGCGUAUUAACUAGUUGGUGGGGUAACGGCCUACCAAGGUGAUGAUACGUAGCCGAACUGAGAGGUUGAUCGGCCACAUUGGGACUGAGGCACGGCCCAAACUCCUACGGGAGGCAGCAGUAGGGAAUCUUCCACAAUGGACGCAAGUCUGAUGGAGCAACGCCGCGUGAGUGAAGAAGGUCUUCGGAUCGUAAAACUCUGUUGUUAGAGAAGAACACGAGUGAGAGUAACUGUUCAUUCGAUGACGGUAUCUAACCAGCAAGUCACGGCUAACUACGUGCCAGCAGCCGCGGUAAUACGUAGGUGGCAAGCGUUGUCCGGAUUUAUUGGGCGUAAAGGGAACGCAGGCGGUCUUUUAAGUCUGAUGUGAAAGCCUUCGGCUUAACCGGAGUAGUGCAUUGGAAACUGGAAGACUUGAGUGCAGAAGAGGAGAGUGGAACUCCAUGUGUAGCGGUGAAAUGCGUAGAUAUAUGGAAGAACACCAGUGGCGAAAGCGGCUCUCUGGUCUGUAACUGACGCUGAGGUUCGAAAGCGUGGGUAGCAAACAGG